UACGGAGGGGGCUAGCGUUGUUCGGAAUUACUGGGCGUAAAGCGCGCGUAGGCGGACCUGCAAGUCCGGGGUGAAAGCCCGAGGCUCAACCUCGGAACUGCCUUCGAUACUGCGGGUCUCGAGUCCGGGAGAGGUGAGUGGAACUGCGAGUGUAGAGGUGAAAUUCGUAGAUAUUCGCAAGAACACCAGUGGCGAAGGCGGCUCACUGGCCCGGUACUGACGCUGAGGUGCGAAAGCGUGGGGAGCAAACAGG
rnacentral:rRNA from 1 species